rnacentral:lncRNA from 1 species
UUUUUUUUAAUCCAAAACCUUACUUCUCGAUUGGCAGCUCUGCUUUGUUCGUGUCUGUCUUGUUUUUCUUCAAACACCUGUGCUGCAACAUGUCUCAGCUAUUGCCAACAGCAAGAGAGUAGAGUUCCAUUCGAGAGGUCUGUUUUUUUCAUUCCUUUUAUUGAAUUCUUGCCAUUUUCGUGUUGGAUUUUUUUGUUUGAUUGUUCUAAAAUUGGUUAAAACAGUUCGUAGUAAGUGAUAUUUCAAUUGGCUGUUAAUAGAUGUGGCCAGUAAUUCUUAUUCUUCUUCUUUAAUGUGAUUUUUGUUUAUAAAGAAAUCCAAUUCUUGCCCACCUUGUCUUCCUUCACUGGUAAAAGAAAAAUAAAUGAAAUUCUAAACUUAGUGAGUGGAUACGUCAGAUUGGUUUUGAAAAACUUGUAUUUAGUUUGCGAAGAUUUUAAGUGAACUCAGAAUUUUAGUAUAAUUUGGAUGUAGGGGAACUCAGAUGCAUAAGGCAAUUACUUCUUAUAAGUAAGAUGAUUCCUAUGUAAUUUAUGCAAAGAAAGCAAGUAUCCAAACACUAGGCUUUUAUGAAUUCAGAUCUAAGCUAAAAGUGUAGAUUAACCAACUUUUCUGUUAGUUAGUUUGUGAGAUUGUGGUUCUUAAAAAAGCAAUUUUAGCAACUCAAUCAUCAAAAAUCAAUAAUGAUACAAGAAAAAGAAAAGCAAAAGCAAACUAUGGGAAUUUCUUCCAUGAAGUAAUUUGUUGAUUGGUUUCUUCAUGUAUUUUUAAGAGUGUGAGAAGUGAAAGUUUCAUGUUUCCAUUCCCAUCCAUAAGCACAGUUGUAAAUCUUAGCAGCUUAGGCCAUGGCAUGUUUGAUAGCAUCUUAGCUUUUGGCCUUGACCAAUCUAGGCCUGAUCACAAGUCAGAAUCCACUUGUGAGCCUCAUGAGAUGAGGUAAUCUAUCAGGUUGGAAUUGAACUUAGUCGCUUUGUAACAAUGAUUUCUCUCUCUGAUUUCACAUUUUGCCUUGGAUGAUUUCUUAGCUGCUAGGAUCAGCACUGGAGAUUGCAGUAUGACACACUGCAGUAGGAUUUUGUGCUCCAAAAUGGUUUAGCAGCUCUAGUAUGAAUCCACUAUUCAGGACUGAAGCUCUUUGCCAUUCUGCAAAUUUAUGAAGGCUUUGUCUGUGAUUUAUUUAUUUAUUCAUUUAUUUUUAUUUCACCGUGGCUUUGCUUGCAAGAUAUUUUUCAGAUAACUCCUGUGUGGUUUUUGUUGAUAAUUAAUUAUCCAGAAAAUCAAGCACCUGGAGUUUUUUUAUUGGGUGUAAGGGGACUUAGAUGCACAAGGCCAAUUUCUUCUUAGAAGUAACAUGCUUCGUAUAUAAUUUAAUACAAAUACAGAAAGUAUCCUAGUUUAGACUGUUAUGAAUUGAGAUCUAAGCUAAUAGAGCAGCUUUAACUUCAUGUUUAAGCACAGUUGUAAGUACUAGGAGCCUAGCCAACCCAUUGCAAGUUUGAUAAUGUCUUAUUAUUGGGUCUUGACCAAUCUAGGCCUGACAAGUCAGAAUCCUCUUGUGGGCCUGAUGAGAUGAUUGAAGUUCUCUAUAUGCAAAUUUAUUAAUGCUUUGAGUGUCUUUGAUUUUUUUUUUUAUAACCUUUCUGUAGCUUUGUAACAAUGGUUUCUCUCUCUGGUUUCACCUUUUUGCCUUGCAAAAUUUCUACUACGCUCAGCACCGGAUAUUGCACUCAAAAGUUCUAUUGGUUUCAUUUUUUCCUUUAUUAAAUUUUUGCAGUAUUUCAUGCUGCAAUUACGAUUUUGUGCCCGAAAAUGGUUUAGCAGCUUUAAUAUGAAUCCAGGGGAGUAAGGAGCAGUGAGUUGGCGUUUGAUGCCGUGUAACUCGCAGAACUUGCUGAACUCAUUCGAUGUAAACUCGCCUCCUUUGUCUGUUCUAAACGUUUUGAGCUUACAUUCGGACUUGACUUUAAUAUGAGCUUUCAUUUUCUUGAAAGCACUAAAAACCUCAUCUUUUCUUUUGAGCAUUUCAAUCCAUAUAUAACGACUGUAAUCAUCCACGAGCAAGAGAAAAUACUUGUUUUUGCCGCAUGUGGUAGGUGAUGACGGCCCGCACAAGUCACCAUGCACGAGUUCUAGAGAUUUGGUUGCUUGAUACUCUCCUGCUUUCAGGAAACUCGUGCGAUGCUGUUUACUGAUCACACAUUGUUCACAGAUGUGCUUCACUGUUUCUAUCUCCGGUAAACCUUUCACCAUGUUUUCUUGUGCGAGCUUGCGUAAAGCUUGAUAGUUGAGGUGCCCGUAGAGUGCGUGCCAUAAGCAAGGCUUUUCAGACAACCUUGUCAGGUGGCACUUCGAUUUUGCUUGUGUCAUUCUAAUCGUGUAAAGGCGAUUUUCCGCUCUAUGCACCUUGGCUAUCAACUUGUCAUUUGCGUCAUAUUCUCUAAGAAUUUCUCCUUUCACCACCACUUUUGCUCCUGAUUCGUCGAGUUGACCAAGACUUAUAAUAUUGGAUCUUAAUCGAGGAAGAUAGUACACAUUCGUUAGUUCGAAAUGAUCUCGGUUCUUGCACUGAAACACUGAAGUGCCUCGGCCUUCUACCUUGACGACUGAACCAUCACCGAACCCGACAUUCCCUUUCAUUGAUUCAUCGAGAUUGGUUAAGGCUAGCUUGUUACCUGUCUUAUGGUUGCUUGCCCCCGUAUCAUAAGCUCGUCUGUGCCCUAGCUGUUACAUUGAUAGUUUGUUAAUAAGCACGUACCCACGUGCUCUGAAUAUUUUGAAUUGUUCAGUGUUUGUUUCCUUCAACCCGAGUCUUGCGCAAUGUGGCUUCAAGCUCGAAUUAAGUUUCAUUUUUCAGUUUGUAAUGGUUGUUAUAUUGAUUCAAGUAUAAAUAAGAACAAAAGGCCAAUCAAGAUUAUCGAUUAAGUUUGAAAAAUCUGAGCAAAAACCCUAACAUAAAAACAUUGCAGAAACUCAAAGUGCACUGUCUGGCUCACACCCUCGAGAGUUUGUUUUUAGAGUCUACGCGGUUCUCAUAAAGUCUGUCCUUUCAGCCAUUUCCACUUACACUAUGUCAAUUCUUAAGCAUCCCAGGAUUUUUUGUAAAAAGCUAAAUAGCAUUCUCUCAAACUUCUGGUGGGGAAGCGGUGAAGACUCGAGAAAAUGCAUUGGAUUAGUUAGAAAAAAGCUUUCAUUCCUAAAGCUAAAGGCGGCAUGGGUUUCAAGGAUUUCAAUAUUUUUAAUCUCGCUUGUCUUGGGAAAUAAUGUUGGAGACUUAUUCAGAAUCCGACAGCGGUUUGGGCUUGACUCAUCAAAAGUGUUUAUUUUCCAAGUACAGAUCUUUGGCAAGCUUCUCAUUCUAGAGAAGGCUCAGGGUAAACUUGUGAUUUUAAAUACGUUAUUAACUUUCUAAUUAUAUUCCUGAGCCGGCAAGUUUUAAUUGCAACUGUGUGUUGGUUUAUUUGGAAAGAAAGGAACAAGGCAAUCUUUAACCACAUGCCUCCAUAUCCUAUCUUUGUGGCUCGCAAGACCCUUUCUAGCUUUCAAGAGCUAGAGUUUGUAAGAGACAUAAGCCGGUCAAUAGUAUUGUUCAUAAUUCUGGUGUUUCUGUUUGGCAAGCUCCACCUUUUGAGAUGUUAAAGUUCAAUUCUGAUGCUGCUUAGAAAUCUCAUUCUAUGUUUGCUUCUAUUGCUAUUGUGGUUCGGAACUCUUAUGGUAGAAGUUUAUAUGGUAGAAUUUGUAAGGCUGUUGCCGAGUCUCCUGUUGUGGUAGAAGCUUUAGGGGUCCUAGAGGCUAUGAAACUUGCUUUAGAGAUGGGAGCUAAGAAUGUUUUUAUGGAAAUAGAUUCAAAAUUGGUACAUUCUGCUGUCAUUCAAAAUUGUUUUUAUGGAAAUAGAGGCUAUGAAAAAAUAGAUGGCGAUAAAACCUAAACUAGAUAAAAAUAGAAAAGGAAAGGCUCUCCUCUGUCCACAAAACAAAAGAGAUCACUGGGAUAAGAAGAAUUUUAAAAGCAGAAAGAGAAAAAAAAAAGACUAAAUUUAUGAUCUUAAUGUGUGCGUAUUAUGAAAAAUAAAAUACACAUUUACGUUUAAUAACAUGAGCAGCUUAGGUUAUUUAAAUCAUACGCUAAAUGGAUUAAACGUUAUUGUUUUUUAUUGAAUGUUAUACUCGAAUUAAUUUUUUACUUCUAAUCUUAUAAUUUUUAUUUAUUUUAUUUUUUUAUUAAAAAAAAUAAUUUUGUAUUAAUUUUCUACUUAUAUUUAUUUUAAAUAUAUUAACAAAAUAUUUGAAAUAGAAAUAUUUUAAAUAUUCACUUAGUCUCUGUUUUAUAUAAAAUAAUUUGUAUUUAGAAAAUAUUUUUUUUAAAAAUAUUUUUUAUAAAAAAUAACUUUUGUGAAAAAUAGAGAUAAAUUAUUUUUUAUUAUUCAAUUUUAAUUUUAAAAAUAAAAUUUAUUAAUAAAUUUAUAUAUAAAAAUUUUAAUAAGAAUCUUGAAAAUUUACUUUCUUUUUUAAAAUAAUUUCUCAUUAAAUUUUUUUCAUGGUUCCAGUUUUUUCAAAAAAAUAUAUUUUAUAUUUUCUAUUCUUUAGCAUAUUCAAAAAAUUUACUUAAUAAUAAAUAUUUUUCCAUAAAAAAUAAAUAAAUCAUUUUAAAAGAAAUAACUUUUUCUUUUGAUAUUCUUAUUAAAAUCUCUAUAUAUAAAUUUGUUAAUAAAUUUUAUUUUUUAAAUUAAAAUUAAAUAAUAAAAAAAUAAAUUAUUCCAUUGAAAAAUAUUUUUUAAAUAUAAUUUAUUUAUUUUUAAUAUAAUUUAUUUAAGGAAAAAUAUUUUUUGUAAAAAUUAUUUUUAAAUAUAAAUUAUUUUCUGUAAACGGAGGCUUAUAAUUAAAGAAAUUCCAUACACGUUGGAAAAAGAAGCAAGCAAUUUGACGGGCCGAAAAUGUAUUUGAUUUUGGGCAUGAAAGCCCAUUGAAUGUCCAUCGUAAAAUCACAAGUUUGCCUGCCCAGGGUUUGCGUUUCGAUUUCACUCCAUCCUCAAACAGACCAUACACGUUACACUCAGUACACACCGUAUUCUCUGUUCCUUGUGAUGAAUCUUGAUGCGAUGGGUAAGAUUCAUCUGAUGAUCAUGGGAUCUCUUUUAUCAACGGUUAAAACUUAUUGUCACUGUACCAUUAACCAGACUCUUCCUACUCAAGGACACACGCAAUCAUCGUGAACAAUUGAUCAAUUGCCCACCCAUAUUCACCUAUCGAGUGGAGCCACCUUAUAUUACCACAGACAGGUGUCGCACUUCCAAGCAUGAUCUACAGGUCACUGACCAUUCGUUGAGACACAUCAUCAGUGGAGGGCCCACGCGUAUGGUGUUAUCAAGGUGGCUUAAGAUGGGCAGCUAGUCAGGUGGUCUGGUUGAAAUCAAACUAAAAUCUAAACCCACAUCGUUCAUUGACUUCAUUUUAAUAUUCUUUAUAAUGCGAAGCGAAAUAUACAAUGCUUGUCCCUUCGGGGACAUCCGAUAAAAUUGGAACGAUACAGAGAAGAUUAGCAUGGCCCCUGCGCAAGGAUGACACGCACAAAUCGAGAAAUGGUCCAAAUUUUUUUUAAUCCAAAACCUUACUUCUCGAUUGGAGCUCUGCUUUGUUGGUGUCUGUCUUGUUUUUGUUCAAACGCCUGUGCUGCAACAUUUCUUAGCUAUUGCCAACAGCAAGGGAGUAGAGUUCCAUUCGAGAGGUCUGUUUUUUUCCUUCCUUUUAUUGAAUUCUUGUCAUUUUCGUGUUGGAUUUUUUUGUUUGAUUGUUCUAAAAUUGGUUAAAACAGUUCGUAGUAAGUGAUAUUUCAAUUGGCUGUUAAUAGAUGUUGCCAAUAAUUCUUAUUCUUCUUCUUUAAUGUGAUUUUUGUUUCUUGGGAUUUAUGUUCUUCCACAUGAAUGCGGGAAUAGAGGUUUGUCCUGGCUUGGAAAUUUAUCAAAUUGUAUUAGGAUCUUUUGCUUGCUAAACAUUGUUUGGAUGGUUUCUAUGUUCAUCCACAUGAAUGUGGUACUUUGCUUUCAUGUCAAUCUAUAAGUAAAGAAAUCCAAUUCUUACCCACCUUGUCUUCCUUCAUUGGUUAAAGAAAAAUAAAUGAAAUUCUAAACUUAGUGAGUGGAUACGCCAGAGUGGUUUUGAAAAACUUGCGUUUAGUUUGCGAAGAUUUUAAGGGAACUCAGAAUUUUAGUAUAAUUUGGAUGUAGGGGAACUCAGAUGCAUAAGGCAAUUACUUCUUAAAAAGAUUCCUAUGUAAUUUAUGCAAAGAAAGCAAGUACCCAAACACUAGGCUUUUAUGAAUUCAGAUCUAAGCUAGAAGUGUAGAUUAAUCAACUUUUCUGUUAGUUAGUUUGUGAGUUUGUGGUUCUUUAAAAAGCAAUUUUAGCAACUCAAUCAUCAAAAAUCAAUAGUGAUACAAGAAAAAGAAAAGCAAAAGCAAACUAUGGGAAUUUCUUCCAUGAAGUAAUUUGUUGAUUGGUUUCUUCAUGUAUUUUUAAGAGUGUGAGAAGUGAAAGUUUCAUGUUUCUAUUCCCAUCCAUAAGCACAGUUGUAAGUCUUAGCAGCUUAGGCCAUGGCAUGUUUGAUAGCAUCUUAGCUUUGGGGCUUGACCAAUCUAGGCCUGAUCACAAGUCAGAAUCCACUUGUGAGCCUAAUGAGAUGAUGUAAUCUAUCAGAUUGGAAUUGAACUUAGUCCCAUAUUGUUUAGUUAUGCAUAAUUGUAAAGCCUUGUAUAAAACAGAAACAAGAGGUUGUCCAGUAUGGCCCCUGCGUAAGGAUGACUGGCACAAAUCCAGAAAUGGUCCAAAUUUUGUUUUUAAACCUUUCUGAAGCUUUGUAACAAUGGUUUCUCUCUCUGAUUGCACAUUUUGCCUUGGAUGAUUUCUUAGCUGCUAGGAUCAGCACUGGAGAUUGCAUUCAAAAUUUCUUAGCUAUUGGUUUCUUUUUUUUUUUUCCUUUAUUAAAUGAUUGCAGUAUGACAUACUGCAGUAGGAUUUUGUGCUCCAAAAUGGUUUAGCAGCUCUAGUAUGAAUCUACUAUUCAGGACUGAAGCUCUUUGCCAUUCUGCAAAUUUAUGAAGGCUUUGUCUGUGAUUUAUUUAUUUAUUCAUUUAUUUUUAUUUUACUCUCGCUUUGCUUGCAAGAUAUUUUUCAGAUAACUCCUGAGUGGUUUUUGUUGAUAAUUAAUUAUCCAGAAAAUCAAGCACCUGGAGUUUUUUUAUUGGGUGUAAGGGGACCUAGAUGCACAAGGCCAAUUUCUUCUUACAAGUAACAUGCUUCCUAUAUAAUUUAAUACAAAUACAGAAAGUAUCCUAGUUUAGACUGUUAUGAAUUGAGAUCUAAGCUAAUAGAGC